rnacentral:rRNA from 1 species
UACGAAAGGGGCUAGCGUUGCUCGGAUUGACUGGGCGUAAAGGGCGCGUAGGCGGUUCGUACAGUCAGACGUGAAAUUCCUGGGCUCAACCUGGGGGCUGCGUUUGAUACGUGCGGACUUGAGUGCGGAAGAGGGCCGUGGAAUUCCCAGUGUAGAGGUGAAAUUCGUAGAUAUUGGGAAGAACACCGGUGGCGAAGGCGGCGACCUGGUCCGAUACUGACGCUGAGGCGCGAAAGCGUGGGGAGCAAACAGG